UAAACAUAAUUGCUUGAGAAAAGGCAAAACAGAAAUGCUUUAAAAAUAGAGAAAAAAGCAUGCACUAGUGAGUUUAACUUUAAGGUUAAGAUGGUGUUAUGAAGCAACAACAAGAAAAGACAAAGGGUUCAUCUUUGCCACAGACCCACAGUUCAGUACAACUCACACAAAUGAUAGCCUGCUUUGCUACAUUUCAGUACAACUGUAAAUUAACAAAGAAACACACACAAGACUGAAGUUAGGCAAGGCUGAAAAUAAGUUUGUAGUAUAAUGCUGUUUGGGAACUUGCUGAACAAGCUACAAAAACACAUAGCGCGUACAGGCUCCACACAAGGGUCCGAUUCCAUAAUCAACCAGUGUGAAACCAAAAUUGUUUUGCAUAGACAUCAAGUUCAGGACAGAAAUGUAGGGAAAGGCUGCGUACUAUAGACCCAAAGUGGUCGGACCCUUCCCUGGACCCUGCGCAAGCGGGAGCUACAUGCACCAGGUUGCCCUUUUUUAUAGACAUCAAGUUCAGGAUUGGUUUACAUAUACAUCAAGUCCAGAAUCGUAUUAUCCAACACUUGAGCAUGCCACAUAUAUAUCAUUUUAAAAGUUGAGCAACAUAUGUAAGGAGCAGCCAUCCUCUUCGAGCACCCCAUAUCUACAUAUCAAGAAAUCACGAACCACACAUCAGAAAAUUCGAUUCACAUGUGACAAUUGCUUGGUUAACAUAACAUCCUCUUUUAAGAGUCAGUUGUGCAAUGUUCUGUUAAACACCAGGCAAUGCAUACAAUGAUUCACCAGUUUAUCACUAAGCUCGUACCAGAUGGACAAAUUCCAACAAGAUCUGGCACUUGUGCCUGGCAAAGCCCCAAUCAUCUUGACAAUAGCAAGCUCAUCCUACUUCUCAUCCUAAUAAUCUUGACAUAGCCAUGAAGAAAUCGAUUCCAUUAGCAUCAAAGCAAUGAUCUCAGAGCAGAGCAAGAGCAGGGCAUACCAAAGCAUCAUCCAUAGAGGAGGCAGUUCUGUGUGGACGAGGCUGUGGCCUCUGGGGAAGGAAGCAAACAGUGUAGCCACCGUGACAGGGA
rnacentral:lncRNA from 1 species